rnacentral:rRNA from 1 species
UACGGGGGGGGCAAGCGUUGUUCGGAAUUACUGGGCGUAAAGGGCUCGUAGGCGGCCAACUAAGUCGGAUGUGAAAUCCCCAGGCUUAACCUGGGAACUGCAUCCGAUACUGGAUGGCUUGAAUUCGGGAGAGGGAUGCAGAAUUCCAGGUGUAGCGGUGAAAUGCGCAGAUAUCAGGAGGAACACCGGUGGCGAAGGCGCUCUGCUAGGCCGCAACUGACACUGAGGGACGAAAGCUAGGGGAGCGAAUGGG